rnacentral:rRNA from 1 species
GAUGAACGCUAGCUACAGGCUUAACACAUGCAAGUCGAGGGGCAGCAUGGUCUUAGCUUGCUAAGACUGAUGGCGGCCGGCGCACGGGUGAGUAACACGUAUCCAACCUGCCGUCUACUCUUGGACAGCCUUCUGAAAGGAAGAUUAAUACAAGAUGGCAUCAUGAGUCCGCAUGUUCACAUGAUUAAAGGUAUUCCGGUAGACGAUGGGGAUGCGUUCCAUUAGAUAGUAGGCGGGGUAACGGCCCACCUAGUCUUCGAUGGAUAGGGGUUCUGAGAGGAAGGUCCCCCANAUUGGAACUGAGACACGGUCCAAACUCCUACGGGAGGCAGCAGUGAGGAAUAUUGGUCAAUGGGCGAGAGCCUGAACCAGCCAAGUAGCGUGAAGGAUGAAGGUCCUACGGAUUGUAAACUUCUUUUAUACGGGAAUAAAGCUUCCUACGUGUAGGAUUUUGUAUGUACCGUAUGAAUAAGCAUCGGCUAACUCCGUG